rnacentral:lncRNA from 1 species
GUGUCUAAGGUAAGUAAUUAAAAGAUGAUUAUUUAAUUAGUUCUGUUUGCUUAACUAGCCAAUUUAUUGGUGUCUAAAGAAAACAACGGGAGGACCCCCAUCAAUCUCCACUUACCUGGCUAAUUUGAAAGAUUGAGUCAUAAAUAUGGUUGCUUGGUGGUUUGAUUUAGCCUAUACCAAUUACAUCAGUCAUGUGAUGACUGAUUAGAUGAGAUCUAAAUCUAAAUUUUUUUCACAAAAUAUUAAGUCCAAGGUCUUUCACUGUUGUAGAUGUGUAGGCGUGCUACCGGCAUUGAUUGUUCUCGACUGGUCACAGUGGUUCAGUUGCAUCGGGAACACGCAACCACUCUAUUAGCAAAGAGUUGCUGUGGGGUAAAGAUGGGGUUGGACCCAAUAAUUGUUAGGUGAGGGACCCAAUGAUGGUUUUACACCUACUUGUGAAUGGUGGAUCUUACUUAACUAAGAAGUACGGGUAUUAACUAUUAGAUGAGCCCACAUGACUUAGAGACCAAGUGGCUGCAAUAUGCUUAGAGAAGCAUCUGAGCAAAGUGUUGUCCA